GACAGAGGUGCCGAGCGUUAGGCGGAAUCACUGGGCUUAAAGCGUGUGUAGGCGGACUUCUAAGUACCUUGUGAAAUCCCACGGCUUAACCGUGGAACUGCUUGGUAUACUGGUUGUCUUGGGCCAUCUAGGGGCUACUGGAACAAACGGUGGAGCGGUGAAAUGCGUAGAUAUCAGGAAGAACACCAAUGGCGAAAGCAGCUUUCUGGGACGGUACUGACGCUGAGACGCGAAAGCGUGGGGAGCGAACAGG
rnacentral:rRNA from 1 species